UACGGGGGGUGCGAGCGUUGUCCGGAAUCACUGGGCGUAAAGGGCGCGUAGGUGGUUUGAUAAGGGUGUGGUGAAAGUCCGGGGCUCAACCCCGGGUCUGCCGUGCCGACUGUCAAACUCGAGGGCUGUAGAGGCAGACGGAAUUCCGGGUGUAGCGGUGGAAUGCGUAGAGAUCCGGAGGAAGACCGGUGGCGAAGGCGGUCUGCUGGGCAGUUUCUGACACUGAUGCGCGACAGCGUGGGGAGCAAACAGG
rnacentral:rRNA from 1 species